GGCGGCGUGGACGCGCAGUUUGCAGGUAGAGCCGGCAGGACUCGGCCACCACAGCUGGCAGACGCUGCUCUGCACUCCGGCAUCCCUACAGGCUUCCUGUGCCUCCGGGGCACCCACCCUAUGCUCCCUGCAUCUCUAGACCUGCUAACCCGAGGAGGAGAGCAGAUUUGCCCUGGGCUCUUUCCUGCGCUUGGCAGAGGGGUUCCGGCGGGAAUCGGGGCUCCUGCUAGCUUUGCGCAGCCGAGGGAGGCUAGAAGCUGCGUUCGGGAUGGUGGCUCUCCCAGAGCGAGGAGGCGGGAUACCCUCGCCGAGGUCCGCGGAGCGCCCUACACCCGCGCAAAUCGUGCGCUUGUCCCGUGCGGGCCCGGGAAGGCGGCCUUUGGGAAACCCAGCCGGUGAGCUCCCCACGAUCUCCGCGGGUCUUGAGCGCAGAGGCGGACUGCCAGCUCUUGGACCCUGGAUGGAAAGUGGUAAUGAGGUGGGGCUGCUCCGGACCCCUAAUGUGGAUUACUUGGUGCGUAUCAGCCGGGCUAGGAAGACUCGCGAUCUCUCCACCCGUGGAUUGAUUCAUUCUACCUAGCAGUCGGGUCGCCUACCUGGAGGUGAAAUCAGGUUGGUGGCCAACCUGGGCAGGUGCUUUGAACCAAGAAAGGACAAGAGAGAAGGCGAGCCUGAGCACAAAAGGCCUAGAAAGGAGGACUGGCACAGGGCCGCCCUUCCUCCCCACACCUCCCACCAGGAAGCUUCGUGGAGCCACGGUGUACCGCCAGGUCCCCCUUGAACGACGUGACUCAGAUGUGACCAUCUCUUAAGAGGCAAGAGCUCUGGAUUGGGUGGAGAAUUCUUAUUUUGGAGGAUAAAGAAGGUUCUGGAUUUGAGAAGACAUAUAAGGAGAAAGCCAAGACCCUUACAUUGAGGCAUAGUCUCUGUGAUGACCUGCGUGGGCUGGGAGAUGCAUUGCUGGGAGUGACGUGUGGUUGAAGAAGAUGCUGGUUUCCCAGACCUUGUUUUUCCUUCCUAUGGAAAACGUUGCCACUGCCGCUGGCUCCUACGACUGCCCGCCCCUGCCCCCAGGAACCCCCGGGGCAUUCACCACACCCUUUUCUGCCCCCGACCUCCACGUCAGCUGUGUAGCAAUUCUUGUUUGCUCCGUUGUCUUCUAGCAGAUGCAAAAUGAGUAGUGAACUCCACUGAGGUCAAACAGGAUCUUGCUUUUGGUUCCUGCUCCUUCCAAAGUGCGAGUGUCGCUCUGUGCCCAGGCUGGGAAUAGUAUUCCUCCUCAUCUGUUUGGGAUCUGGCUGCACAGUUUCCAGAGGGACAGUGAUCAGUGCAGAGACGUUCUUCAGGCUCUUGGGGACGUUGGUGGGGACUUCGGCAUUGGAACCAGAUGGAGAAGGCUGGCUCCAUGUUCAGCUGCCUUGGUUGGGAUCACACGUGGGAGUACAACUGCAGGAGCAGCAGACAACCCCUGCUGUUGACUCCAGCUGUGUUGACACAGAGGCAGGGUCUGCUGUGAAGACCCUCUUCUCUCAGGAGGCAGCUGGGGGCCACAGCAGAACUUGGGGCUUCAUUCCAGACCAUCCAGCUACCAGGCCAGUGGCGUUUAUUGCGGAAACUUCCUCCAGCAUGUGCUGAUGACUCACACACCUGACAAUGGAUUGGGCCCCACGAAACUCGAGUCCUGUUUGUGUCAUUCAUUUACUCUGUCACCGUCACACGCGUGGAUGAAAAUACUUCCCAGGUAUCCAUCACACUUCAACCUCGUCCAAAAUGCAGAGCCGAACACACUUGUUCUUCCACCUUCCCAAGUGAAUGGAUGGCUUGCUUUUGUAAAAAAAGAAUUAAAGCUAAACAUAUGUA